AGUCUCGUGUGGUAGCUUUUGUCCACGCCCGGCAGGAGGUUGAGGUUUUUAUUCUAGGUACAAGGGAGAGCACAGGCAGAAGCAGAGACAGCUGGGAGAAUCCAGAGUGGACAGGACCAUGACUGACCAACUAUACCAGCUCUGCCCAAAGCUGUGCUGUGAGCUGAAUUGGGCAGAACUGGAGUUUGUGAUUUGAGCACUUCCACACAAACCUCCUUCUCACCCCCCUGCUCUGCAGUGAGAGUCUAAGAAGCUGAGAGGAACUAAGUUAAGAGGGAACCAAGCCCUGCCGCAUGUGGUGAGCAUAAGAAAAACAACAAAUAUCGACAGACAGGCAGCAAAGCUUCAUCCAGCAUCUACAGCACCAGCACACAUGACUGCUGUAGAGGCCACUGAGAGCAAGAAGGUAAUAUCAGGUGUGGGCUUUUAGAUCCUGGGGAGGAGCUCCUGCUGCUCUCUCACUGCAGGCUCUUUGUGUAACAAACCACAGCCUCUGUUGGAAAGGCUCCUCAGCUGUUCUCAAGGACACAAUGCUGUUUUAAAAUCUCUUUG
rnacentral:lncRNA from 1 species